rnacentral:rRNA from 1 species
CGUGAAAUUGUUGAAAGGGAAACGAUUAAAGUCAGUCGUACCGAUGAGCAUUCAGCCUUUUGGGUGCGAUUAUGUGGUACAUGAAAAGAUUUCGUGAAUUGCAUAUUUGUGUCUUUUGGGUGUACUUGUUCGUAUGGUAGGUUAACAUCAAUUUCGGUCGUCAUAAAAUGGCGGGAGGUAUGUAGCUUCUCCGGAAGUGUUUUAGCCUCUGGUAGAUGUGACAACUGAGAUUGUGGAUUUCAACGAAUACC